GGCUGGUCCGAAGGUAGUGAGUUAUCUCAACUGAUUGUUCACAGUCAGUUACAGAUCAAACUCCUUGUUGCACUCUUUCCCUGCUUCUCACUACUGCACUCGACUAAUCUUUA
rnacentral:Y_RNA from 1 species